rnacentral:rRNA from 1 species
AGUGAACGCUGGCGGCGUGCCUAAUACAUGCAAGUCGAACGGAGUGGCGCACGGGUGAGUAAUAUAUAGCUAAUCUGCCCCUUGCUGGAGGACAACAGUUAGAAAUGGCUGCUAAUACUCCAUAGCAAGGGAUGAGACUAUAUCGUAUCAGCUAGUCGGUGGGGUAACGGCGUACCGAGGCUAUGACGCGUAACAGGUCUGACAGGAUGAUCAGUUACAGUGGAACUGAGACACGGUGCAAGCUCCUAGGGGAGGUGGCAGUAGGGAGUAUGGCGCAAGGGGGGAAGCCCUGACGCAGCAACGGCGCGUGGAGGAUGAAACUUUUCGGAGCGUAAACUCCUUUUGUUAGGGAAGCGGUACCUAACGAAUAAGCACCGGCUAACUCCGUGCCAGCAGCCGCGGUAAUUC